AUGGCGGAAGGCGCCCAACAAGCCUAUCCCGCCGGCGGCGGCGAUGGCGGGCGCUGGCUAGCGGCGGCACCUUCAAACCUCCGCGCCAAAGUGGUCCAGAAGAUAACGAAUAAUUUGUGCCAGUUCCAAGUCCAAGGGAAUCAGCUGGACCAGCUCCACGCCGUCGCUGCCCGAUUUGAGGCCAAGGUGUUCAGCGACUCCGACAACGUGCAGGACUAUCUCAGAACAAUAAGCAUCAAGAUGAUGACUCUUCAGAGCAAAUGGCAGCCGGUUGCGCAGCCUGCUGCUCCCGACCAUCAGGCACACAUGGGAGGCCAGAUGCGGCCUCUCAAUGCAGUUCCAGACUACGCCGCUCCAGUGCCGCCGCCACAAGCGUCGCCAUUAACAACGACUCAUCUCCCUGUAAGGCCACCUCAGGCGCAGAACAUGCAGAUCAAUCAUAAAGCACCACAACAACCCCCAAUGGCACCCGUUGCCCAGCUCCACCCUUGUCAUCCUACCGUGGCAGCUCAGGUUCAGACUCAGUCCCUGUCCAGGCACAACAACUCCAGCGGCAUGUGUACACGGCAGCCGGUUGCGCAGGAUCCUUUCAACCAUCAGCCACACAUGCCUCCCAAUGCAGUAACUCAGAUUCAGACUGCAGUGCCGCGGACAACAUCAGCAAAUCGGCUUCCUCCUACAGAUCAAGUGCAAAACAUGGAGAUCAACCCAAUGGCACCCACUGGCCAGCUCCACCCUUGUCAUCCAACGGCGGUUACUCAGAUUCAGUCCCAAUCCAUGGCCAGGCAUAACUCAAGCGGCAUGCGUGCACAGCAGCCACAGCAAGAUUAUUUGAGGGUCAACCAACGGCAGAGUUACCAAGCUCACGGAGGACAGCAGUCCAAUGUCGGCCCUUUGCAGAUCGGGCCUUCUGGAGACCGUAACAACCAACAAUUUGGGCACCAUCCAGUCGAAGUGGAUUGGAGGGAAGACAUGUUCCAAAGGAUCACAUCCCUCAAGAUCGCUCACUUCUCGGAGCUCGUGGAAUUUCAGGAAGCAAUACAAGCACGCACCCCUCAGAGGAUAACGAACCAACAGCUCAAGUCAUUACCUAAAGAGCAAGCAGACAAAUAUCGGAAAUUGGUAGAUACCAUGGCAAAGAUUGGUUCUGCAUUGAGCUUCCUACAACUCCAGAAAAGCAACAUACCUGAGACCAUGAAGGAUCAGUUUGACAAGCACGAGACAUUCUUAUAUCGUAUUCUGCAUUUUCACAGGGCCAUGAAGGAUCGGUUGCAGAACCCUCCUCGGGCUGUAAAUACCAUCGGUGCAACAGAUAGCCAGCAGAAACAUCAAGAGCAACCUGCAGCAGAGACGCAGUUUUCGCAGUCUUCAGAAAACGUUCCGGAUACAAGUCCACUGGUACAGCAGCAAGAGAAUAGCCACCACUUGGGAGGUGAAGAAGCGGUGGACGACGAGGUGCGCCAUGAAGCUGAAGCACCGGUGGCCACCAAUCUUACCGGCGGCAGUACGCCACCGUUCACCGGUGGAAGCAGAACAAGUAGCCAGGAAGGACAGCAAGAGCAUCAUCCAGCAUAUGAAGCAAUUCGACAGCUGACGCGGAACGCCAACCCUGUUGAAACUCCGCCGGCUCAGCAGACAACCAAGAGGCCUUUGUCACCGGCAGCGCUUCGCAGCCUAGCCCAAGAUAUGGGAGUGAACUUGAAGCGGGCCUUCCGCCACACAAUGUCUGGCAGCUGCGCGUGGUUUGAUGAAUCCAGCGGAGAAAGCUGCAACAAGAGGCGAAAAAUGCACGCUCUGCGCGACGAGAUCAGAGCUGCAUACAGCAUGCUAGUGGAGACUGAGAUCAGAAUCACCGAUGACAACACAGGAGGAGCGGACGGGGCGGUGGUGAUCGAGCUCUGGUACAUCCCAGUGUCGCUUACACCGGACCUCAGGGCGGCUAUCGACCCUUCUGAGAUGUCGACAAAGCUGCUCGUCCCCGCGAACUACCCACGAAGCUCUCCGGUGCUUCUCGGAGACGACGGCGAACGUAGGAAGGGGAUUGCAGCUGGCGUGCUGGACGUGGAGUUCCGACGCACCCUAAGCCAACUCCCGGAGCCCAUGUCAAUCAAGGGGAUAGCCCAGGCGUGGGACGCCUGCGUGCGGAGAGCCGUGGUGCAGUUUGCGCAUGGCCUCGGUGGAGGGACGUUCAGCACGAGGUACGGCCGGUGGGAGAGCUGCAUCGGAGUCUGA
rnacentral:rRNA from 1 species